GACGAACCACACGAACGUUAUUCGGAAUUACUGGGCUUAAAGGGUGCGUAGGCUGUGCGGAAAGUUGGGUGUGAAAGCCCCCGGCUCAACCGGGGAAUUGCGCCCAAAACUACCGUGCUGGAGGAAGAUAGAGGUGAGCGGAACUUCGGGUGGAGCGGUGAAAUGCGUUGAUAUCCGAAGGAACACCGGUGGCGAAAGCGGCUCACUGGAUCUUUUCUGACGCUGAUGCACGAAAGCUAGGGGAGCAAACGGG
rnacentral:rRNA from 1 species